AUGGGAAGAGGAAAAGGAAAUCCUACGGGUUGGAUUGCUCGUGUGUCCGCGGGACAAGUCCUAUUUGAGAUGGAUGGUGUGAGUUUGUCAAAUGCUCGACAAGCCGCUACAUUAGCGGCGCAUAAACCAUGUUCGUCAACCAAGUUUCUUCAGUGGUCGUCUUCUCUGAUUACGUUCGGACGUGACAGGGAAGCCAGGAGGUCCAGGGACAUAGCCGACCGAUGCACUCCCCAUCCAGCAGAAAGAGAGGGGAAUGCAGCCCCCGCCGCCAUAUGA